rnacentral:rRNA from 1 species
UUGGAGGGCAAGUCUGGUGCCAGCAGCCGCGGUAAUUCCAGCUCCAAUAGCGUAUAUUAAAGUUGUUGCAGUUAAAAAGCUCGUAGUUGAAUUUCGGGGUUAGUAGGUUGGUCAUGCCACUGGUAUGUACUGGUCUCACUGAUUCCUCCUUCCUGAUGAGACGUAAUGCCAUUAAUUUGGUGUUGCGAGGAAUCUGGACUGUUACUUUGAAAAAAUUAGAGUGUUUAAAGCAGGCUAACGCUUGAAUACAUUAGCAUGGAAUAAUGAAAUAGGACGUUCGAUCUUAUUUUGUUGGUUUCUAGGAUUGACGUAAUGAUUAAUAGGGAUAGUUGGGGGCAUUAGUGUUCAAUUGUCAGAGGUGAAAUUCUUGGAUUUAUUGAAGACUAACUACUGCGAAAGCAUUUGCCAAGGAUGUUUUCAUUAAUCAAGAACGAAAGUUAGGGGAUCGAAGACGAUCAGAUACCGUCGUAGUCUUAACCAUAAACUAUGCCGACUAGGGAUCGGAUGAUGUUAAUAUAUAAUGACUCCUCGGCGCCUACGGAAAC